UACGUAGGGAGCAAGCGUUGUCCGGAAUCAUUGGGCGUAAAGCGCGUGUAGGCGGCCCGGAAAGUCUGGUGUGAAAUCUUAAGGCUCAACCUUAAGCUGUCACUGGAUACUGUCGGGCUUGAGUCCGGAAGAGGAGUGUGGAAUUCCUGGUGUAGCGGUGAAAUGCGUAGAUAUCUGGAGGAACACCGGUGGCGAAGGCGGCAUCCUGGACCGGUAUUGACGCUGAGGAGCGAAAGCCAGGGGAGCAAAGCGGG
rnacentral:rRNA from 1 species